ensembl:lncRNA
AGCUGCAGUUUAACUUCUCUGAGAGCAGGAAGUGUGUCCUGCUGGAGCUGUCUUUGAGUUCCAGUCUCACAUCUUUAAGGAUGGGGAGGGGGGUGAUUUUUGCCCGAGUGUCCCACUGCUGCCUCAAAGACCAUGUGCUGGACAUUCCUGCUUGCACCUCCGUAUGUACUCUCCACUCUUCUCUACCCUGCUCUGUGCCUUAGGAGCUGACCUCCUAAGACUGUAUUUCUUUGGACCCAGGUAUUAGGAGGCACCAGCAAGCGAUUAGAGGGUGGUAGGGUAUUUAUUCCCUUGAGUCCCUCCAGCUUGGGUGGCUCUUUUCCCCAGAGCCCUUGGGCAGCCCUCCCCUGCAGCUGCAGUUCACGCUGAGCUUGUUAACUGCUUCCCUCCUCUGGGCUCUGCAGGCCUAUGGGCAGUGACAGCUUGCUGUUCUGGUGAUUGGGGUGGUUUACCACCCCUUGUUAGUUUCCUUAACAGUCCAUGCCGAAUUAUGCUAAGUUGCUUCAGCCCGCCAGGCUUCUCUUUCCGUGGGAAUUUCUGGGCAAGAAUACUGGAGUGGGUUGCCAUGCCCUCCUCCAGGGGAUCUUCCUGACCCAGGGAUCUGGGUUCCUGACCCGCGGUUCUUACAUUUCCUGCAUUGGCAGUUGAAGAAAUGAUGACUUCUGAGGAGGAUGAGAACCCCAUGGGCCAGAGUGGCUAGAGAAAGAAUCACAGAGAAGCUGGGACUUGCAGUUUCAGAAAGAGGAACUGACGUGCUUAGCAGACUGAUGGGAUAUUGUAAACAAAAACUUAGCCCUUCGUGUCACUCUGGUGCCCAGUUCCCUUCCCAGUGAGAUGGACAAAAUGGUGCUCUGCAGGUCAUGGGCUUAGGCCAGUGAUCUUCACACGCUGAGUCACUCACCCUUGUGAGAUACAAAUCAUGGAUUCCAGGGUGCACCGGCUUCAGAAGUUGUGAUACCUGGGGUCAGUAGUUGUGGAUCCUGGACUCUAGAGCACAGGCUUGAUAACUGUGAGGCUUAGUUGCUCCGCGACAUGUGGGAUCUUCCUGGAUUGGGCAUCAAACCUGCAUCUCCUGCAUUGCCAGGCGGAUUCUUUACCACUGAGCCACCAGGGAAGCCUGACCUGCUUUCGUCUUAAAAGAAGUUCGUCAGGAACCCUCCCUCUGCAACCUGCUCCCACCCCUUUCCCAGCCAAAGACGUUCUUAGAAGGAAAAAUGAUAUAGUUCUGAAACUUUAGGUUUCAUAAAGAAAGGAAGAGCAUUAGAGAAGGAAUAAAUAAUAGUAAUAUGUCUUUUUUUAAAAUUUCAGUUGAUCCAACAGAUAGUAGUUUGCUCAAAAUACUAGUAGAACCAAGGUAUUUGGUGCUUGUAGGUCAUGCACAGUGAAAUGAAUGACAGUGAUGCUAUCAGAGAUGAGAGGGAGGGCUUGGGGAUACCCUGUUAUAAAGUGCUUGCGUUACCCAUGAGAUUGUAUAGUUGUAUCUGAAAAGGACUUGGAUGAAUAAAUGUAUAGGACAGCUGCUAAAAGAAUAAAUUAAAUAAAAAAGUGUAACUAAUAUCCUAAGAGAGUACAAAAAAUGGGAUUAUAUAAAAUGCUCAAUUAAAACAAAAAAAAAGAUUAAAAAAAUACGAGAAAAAAAAGAAACAAGAAGGGCAAUGAAUAGAAAAGAGUAACAACUAUGGCAGAUACUAAUUUGAUUAUAUCAAUAAUCACUUUAAAUGUCAAUGGUCUAAAUACACCAACUGAAAAAAACAGAUUGUGUGUCUGAGUGGAUUAAAAAAAACAAGCUCUUAUAUUUUGUUCAUAAGAAGCUCAUUUUAAACAUAGGCUGGAUAGAUUAAAAGUAAAGAUAGAUAGGUUAAAAGUAAAGAGAUGGAGAAAGACAUACCACGAUAACACCAAUCUAAAGAAAGCUGAGGUAGUAGUAUUAAUUUCAGACAAAGCAGAGCAAAGAAAUAUUAAUAUUAUUAACAUUAGUUUGUAUCAAUAAAUUAUUAAUU